AGAGUUUGAUCCUGGCUCAGAACGAACGCUGGCGGCGUGCCUCAUACAUGCAAGUCGUGCGAGAAAGCCCUGAGCAAUCGGGGUGAGUAAAGCGGCGAACGGGUGAGUAACACGUGGGUAACCUGCCUCGAAGAUGGAAAUAAGCUCCUGAAAGGGGGAGUAAUUUCCAAUAGCACCUCAAGAAGGCAUCUUUUUGAGAUCAAAGAUAGCCUAUACUCGUAAGCUAUCGCUUCGAGAUGGACCCGCGGUCCAUUAGCUGGUUGGUGAGGUAAUGGCUCACCAAGGCUCCGAUGGAUAGCCGGCCUGAGAGGGUGUACGGCCACACUGGGACUGAGAUACGGCCCAGACUCCUACGGGAGGCAGCAGUAGGGAAUCUUGCGCAAUGGGCAAAUGCCUGACGCAGCGACGCCGCGUGGGCGAUGAAGUUUUUCGGAAUGUAAAGCCCUGUCAGAGGGGAAGAAACUCCUUUAAGGGAAUAUCUUAAAGGACUGACGGUACCCUCAGAGGAAGCUCCGGCCAACUCCGUGCCAGCAGCCGCGGUAAUACGGGGGGAGCAAGCGUUGUUCGGAAUCACUGGGUGUAAAGGGUGCGUAGGUGGGUAGGUAAGUCAGAUGUGAAAAUCUUAGGCUUAACUUAAGACCUGCAUUUGAAACUGCCUUCUUGAGUACGGGAGAAGGAAGUGGAAUUCCUGGCGUAGCGGUGAAAUGCGUAGAUAUCAGGAGGAACACCUGUGGCGUAGGCGGCUUCCUAGUCCGAUACUGACACUGAGGCACUAAAGCUAGGGGAGCAAACAGGAUUAGAUACCCUGGUAGUCCUAGCUAUAAACGUUGGGCACUAGGUGUUGGAGGUAUUGACCCCUUCAGUGCCGGAUCUAACGCAUUAAGUGCCCCACCUGGGGAGUACGGUCGCAAGGCUGAAACUCAAAGGAAUUGACGGGGGCCCGCACAAGCGGUGGAGUAUGUGGUUCAAUUCGACGCAACGCGAAGAACCUUACCUGGGUUUGACAUCUCGAUGAAAGCCUCAGAAAUGAGGUCCCCCAGCGAUGGGCAUCGGGACAGGUGCUGCAUGGCUGUCGUCAGCUCGUGCCGUGAGGUGUUGGGUUAAGUCCCGCAACGAGCGCAACCCUUGUCCUUAGUUGCCACCUCUGAGCAAUUGGGGAGCACUCUAAGGAGACUGCCAGUGAUAAGCUGGAGGAAGGUGGGGAUGACGUCAAGUCCUCAUGGCCCUUACGUCCAGGGCUACACACGUACUACAAUGGCCGGUACAGAAGGUUGCAAACCCGCAAGGUUGAGCUAAUCCCCAAAACCGGUCUCAGUUCAGAUUGGAGUCUGCAACUCGACUCCAUGAAGGCGGAAUCGCUAGUAAUCGCGAAUCAGCAGGUCGCGGUGAAUACGUUCCCGGGCCUUGUACACACCGCCCGUCAAGCCAUGGAAGUCGGGGGUACCCGAAGUCUCCGAUUAUCGGAGCCGAAGGUAAAACCGAUGACUGGGGCUAAGUCGUAACAAGGUA
rnacentral:rRNA from 1 species